AUGCUCCGGCGCCGCCCUGGCACCCACCUGUGGGUGCAGAAGAACCGGGGAAACCUCCGGGGGGAUCCGCCCUGCAACCCCCGCCCCGGGCUGGGCAAACCCCGGUGCAGCCGGCCCUGCGGCUGGAGGGUGCCCCCCUCCUUCCCCCUCUCCAUCCUCCUCCUCCUCCUCCUGGCAGGAGCCCUGCCCUCCCCUGGGGGGAUGCGGCGGGGAGUUCCCCCUCCCUGCUCGGUGCUCGGGGUCCCCCCGCCCCGCCGGCCGCUCCCCACGGAGCAUCCCCCGCCCCAGCGCUCGCACAUGGGGCCGGUGACAGGCAGCAGCCGGACACACGGACGCACGGACAGACGGGCACGGGCAGGGCUCUCCAUCCUCCGCGGGGCUCGGGCGCGCGUGGGGGGAGCCGUGCAGGAGGGAGGAUGCCCGGAGCAGGGCUCCAUGCAGGGCGAGCGUGCAAAGGGGCUGGGGGAGGGAGAGGGGGUGGGCAAAGCGGGGUCCGCCGGGGGAGCGAGGCUGGGCUGGGCACCGGGCGAGGCAGGGGGCGAUGGGUGCGCGUCCCCCCCACCCGCGGCAGCCCCUGGCCGGGACGCUGGGUACUCACGGGCCGGGCAUCCGCGCCGCCGCCGCCGCCCCCGGCCGCCGCCGCUGCGCUGCCGCCGGGCUGGGCACCGGAGGGAGAGGGAGCGGCAGCGGGAGCCGAGCGGCGGCGGCGGCACUGCGCAGGCUCCGGCCCGGCCCCGCCGGCCACUUCCGAAAGCGAUUGCAGCCCUGGCACUUCCUCACGGCACACACACACACACACACACACACACACCCACCCACACCACCCACGGGCCCAGCCCCCUGCCCCCAGCACCGGGCACCCACUGCUGUGCCCCGGCACCAGCAUCACAAAACCGGUACCGGUACCCGCUGCCAGCCCCCCGGACCCAGUGCUCGCACCCUGCACCAGCAUCACAGAACCGGUACUGGUACCCGCUGCUAGCCCCCCAGACCCAGUUCUUGCACCCUGCACCAGCACCCAGAUCAGAUAUUGGCACACAGGACAAGCACCACGCUCCCACUAUUGAUAACCAGUACCGGCACCAUGCACCGAGUGCUGGUACAGUACCAGUACCAUGCACCCAGCACUACACCCAGCACCAGCAGCACAUACCCAGCAGUGAUUCCUGGUACUCACAUCCUGCACCCAGUACUUACACUCAGCAUCGUGCACCCAGUACUGGCACCCUGCACCAACACUGGGGAUCCCCUCUGCCCCUCUGGGUUUUCUCCCAUCCCCAGAGGGUGGGGAAGGGCUGUCUGUGA
rnacentral:lncRNA from 1 species